rnacentral:rRNA from 1 species
AGUGAACGCUGGCGGUAGGCCUAACACAUGCAAGUCGAACGGCAGCACAGUAAGAGCUUGCUCUUACGGGUGGCGAGUGGCGGACGGGUGAGGAAUACAUCGGAAUCUACUUUUUCGUGGGGGAUAACGUAGGGAAACUUACGCUAAUACCGCAUACGACCUACGGGUGAAAGCAGUGGAUCUUCGGACCUUGCGCGAUUGAAUGAGCCGAUGUCGGAUUAGCUAGUUGGCGGGGUAAAGGCCCAGCAAGGCGACGAUCCGUAGCUGGUCUGAGAGGAUGAUCAGCCACACUGGAACUGAGACACGGUCCAGACUCCUACGGGAGGCAGCAGUGGGGAAUAUUGGACAAUGGGCGCAAGCCUGAUCCAGCCAUACCGCGUGGGUGAAGAAGGCCUUCGGGUUGUAAAGCCCUUUUGUUGGGAAAGAAAAGCAGCAGGUUAAUACCCCGCUGUUCUGACGGUACCCAAAGAAUAAGCACCGGCUAACUUCGUG